ACCGCUGAACUGCUGAUCUAGCAGUCAGCCUGCAGUGCUGCAUUUAACCACUGCGCCACCUUGGCUCCUUAACAGCUCCAUCGGCCCUCUCAGUUUUACCUUGAGUGUCUGUCCAAACUAAUUUUCCCUCUUGCCUUCUGGCUUCACCCAGCAAUGAUGUUUUCUUCCAGAAUUCUCUUUCUUGGUGCAUCACGGACCUGUUAAUGCACGAGUGAAGGUUAUGGAUGAUUCUCCUGGAAGGCUUUGAAAAAAAUAUAUAUCUUAAAUUCAAGAAGGGGAAAGCUUUUGACAUGUACUAAGCAUGACGGGAUCGUAUUACCUCUAGUACCGGAGGUUGUUGCUGAGAAGCGUAAGUGGUGUGUUCAUUCGUGAGCUUCUCGGAGCAAGUGGAACCUGGAUUAAAUGAGGCUUAUUUUUUUUUUCUUAAAAAAUGUUUUUCUAACGAAUGCUUCUCCGCCAAACUUUUGUUUUCUCUUUAGCUGCCUUCCUUUGAAGUGAAACGGAGGAGGCCCCAGGAGCAUGUGAAGGCAGUCGGCGGAGCUGUCAAACCACAUCCCUGCCUUUGUCUCCUGAAACUGUCGGCCCUGUCCUAGUGCGUCGGUCCUGCCUUUCUUCACUCCCCUUCGGCUGAUCCAUGAGUGGCAGCUGGAGCCAAAGAUUUCAUAGCUGGCGGUUUCACCUUCUUGCACGCCCAUCGCAAGAGCUAAGCAUCGACUCUGUCCGCCAUUUUGCCUGCUGAUAGAAGCACGUGGGCUCAAGUCUCCCUUGCAGCCGGCUCUGGGGUGAACUGUACUAGGGCAGGGAUUGAAAAGGAAGAGGCCGUUUGGAAGGGGAAACUUUCUCCUGAAGCACCUUCCCCUCGACGCUGCACGUUUUUAAUUUAGCUGUAGGAGAACAUUCAGAGACCCACCCACCCAC